rnacentral:rRNA from 1 species
AUUGAACGCUGGCGGCGUGCCUAACACAUGCAAGUCGAGCGAGAAUUUCGCAGCGGAAUCCUUCGGGAGGAAGCAGUGAAAGGAAAGCGGCGGACGGGUGAGUAACGCGUGAGUAACCUGCCUUCAGGAGGGGGAUAACAUUCCGAAAGGGGUGCUAAUACCGCAUGACAUUGUUUUUCUGCAUGGAAGAACAAUCAAAGAUUUAUCGCCUGAAGAUGGCCUCGCGUCUGAUUAGCUAGAUGGUGGGGUAACGGCCCACCAUGGCGACGAUCAGUAGCCGGACUGAGAGGUUGACCGGCCACAUUGGGACUGAGAUACGGCCCAGACUCCUACGGGAGGCAGCAGUGGGGAAUAUUGGGCAAUGGACGCAAGUCUGACCCAGCAACGCCGCGUGAAGGAAGAAGGCUUUCGGGUUGUAAACUUCUUUGUCAGGGAAGAGUAGAAGACGGUACCCGACGAAUAAGCCACGGCUAACUACGUGCCAGCAGCCGCGGU